rnacentral:rRNA from 1 species
CUACGGGCGGCAGCAGUGGGGAAUAUUGCACAAUGGGGGAAACCCUGAUGCAGCAACGCCGCGUGAGUGAAGAAGUAUUUCGGUAUGUAAAGCUCUAUCAGCAGGGAAGAAAAUGACGGUACCUGACUAAGAAGCCCCGGCUAACUACGUGCCAGCAGCCGCGGUAAUACGUAGGGGGCAAGCGUUAUCCGGAUUUACUGGGUGUAAAGGGAGCGUAGGCGGCGAUGCAAGUCAGAAGUGAAAGCCCGGGGCUUAACCCCGGGACUGCUUUUGAAACUGUGUUGCUAGAUUGCAGGAGAGGUGAGUGGAAUUCCUAGUGUAGCGGUGAAAUGCGUAGAUAUUAGGAGGAACACCAGUGGCGAAGGCGGCUCACUGGACUGUAAAUGACGCUGAGGCUCGAAAGCGUGGGGAGCAAACAGGAUUAGAUACCCCGGUAGUC